rnacentral:lncRNA from 1 species
AGAAAUUCAGAAAAAGAGACGAUUGAAAAGUGAAGAAAAUCACUGUUUCAUUGAAUAAUCCUAGUGGUUUCUUAAGUUCCUCACUCCUUGAAAGAUUUUUCAAGUUAAUAUAACUCAAAUGGAUUGAAAUUGGUUAUUUGAGGUUUUGUUUUUGAGGUCUGAUUUGGCAUUUGCUCAAGUGGAGUUGCCUUUUCAUGGUUUUUAAACUUAAAUGAGUCUAACUGGUACUGUUGUUAUCUGUUGAUACUGUUUUUGUUGUGCUGAUCCUCUUACUUUGCUCUCCAGGUACAUGGUCCUAAAACUCAUGUAAUAUGAUGUUCCAGUUGAGAAAUAAAAGUAGAGAUGGGAAUUCUGAAGCAUGGCAUCAGAUCUUUUGGCUCUUUAAUAUAGUUUUAUAUGCUUUUCUUCUUCUUUGUUUGCUAAGUUGUCUUCAUUGCUAUUCCUAGGAGGCUUCAAAUUUUGUAAACUAGUUUAUUUCUAUUCCAUUGCAGUUGCUAUUUGAUGUGUGUGCGGCAAGGUUGGUUUGUAAUAAUAGUUGAACUGUCGACCCUUAAUUGAUAGGUUUUCGUUAGAAAGAUUAUAAAGUUGUAUUUGCAAGUUUCAUAUUGAUCAGUUAUGA